rnacentral:tRNA from 1 species
CAGAAAAUAGUUUAAUGUAGAAUCCUAGCUUUGGGGGCUAGGGGUAGGGAUUAAAGUUUCCUUUUUCUGA